rnacentral:tRNA from 1 species
GGAGUUGUGGCUCAGCGGUAGAGCGCUCACCUAGCAUGUGUGAGGCCCUGAGUUCGAGCCUCAGCACCA